GGGAGUACAGCUCAGUGGUAGAGCACAUUCUUGGUGUGUGUGAGGUCUUGGGUUCAAUCCCCAGUGCCUCCA
rnacentral:tRNA from 1 species